rnacentral:rRNA from 1 species
UCCCCUAGUAACUGCGAGUGAAGAGGGAAAAGCUCAAAUUUUGAAUCUGGCGGUCGUGAUGGCCGUCCGAGUUGUAAUCUAGAGAAGCGUCUUCUAGCGCUGAGCCGUGUACAAGUCUCCUGGAAGGGAGCGUCAUAGAGGGUGAGAAUCCCGUCUUUGACACGGAGAAUCAGUGCGAUGUGAUGCGCUCUCGACGAGUCGAGUUGUUUGGGAAUGCAGCUCAAAUAGGGUGGUAAAUUCCAUCUAAAGCUAAAUACUGGCGAGAGACCGAUAGCGAACAAGUACCGUGAGGGAAAGAUGAAAAGAACUUUGGAAAGAGAGUUAAACAGUACGUGAAAUUGCUGAAAGGGAAACGCUCGAGGUCAGUCGCGUCCGCCAGGGAUCAACCUUGCUUCUUCGCUCGGUGCAUUUCUUGGUCGGACGGGUCAGCAUCAGUUUCGAUCGUCGUAGAACGGUCGAGGGAACGUGGCACCUCUCGAGGUGUGUUAUAGCCCUCGAUCUUAUGCGUCGGAAGGGACUGAGGAACUCGACACUUUUCGUGUCUAGGAUGCUGGCAUAAUGGCCUUGAGCGACCCGUCUUGAAACACGGACCAAGGAGUCUAACAUGCCUGCGAGUGUUUGGGUGUCGAAACUCAAGCGCGCAACGAAAGUGAAAGUCGAGAUCUCUGUCAUGGAGAGCAUCGACGCCCGGACCAGAGUCUUUGACGAAUGAUCUGCGGUAGAGCAUG